GGUUAACCAGGUAAGGCCCGUGAUAGACCAACACGUUGAUAGGCCGGAAGUGUAAGCGUGGUAACACGUUCGGCUGACCGGUACUAAUCGGCCGAGGGCUUGAUUCC
rnacentral:rRNA from 1 species